rnacentral:tRNA from 1 species
CGAGGCUGCGUUCCGGCGCGGCCUCGUUUUCUCCUUCGAAGCUACUGCCUUCUAAGCAGUAGGUUGAAGGUUUCCAAAUCCUUCCGCGUUGG